CGUACGACCCAGAUCGUUCCAAAAGCAUCGGCGCUGUCGAGACCCAAUCGCCGACCAGCUAGGCAACUCGGCCACAACUUCGGCGUCCGGCCACCCCACGACGGCGCACCGGCACCGUUCUCUUCAUCUCGCCGUCUCCGUCACGCCACUCUCUCUAGCUUGAUCGUUCGUCGACCGUGGAGAGAGAAUCGACGCCGAGAAGACAACAGCUACUUCGGUGACAUCGUGGCUGUUUCCAGCUACCG
rnacentral:lncRNA from 1 species